rnacentral:rRNA from 1 species
UACGUAGGGUGCGAGCGUUAAUCGGAAUUACUGGGCGUAAAGCGUGCGCAGGCGGUGAUGUAAGACAGAUGUGAAAUCCCCGGGCUCAACCUGGGAACUGCAUUUGUGACUGGCAUCGCUGGAGUGCGGCAGAGGGGGAUGGAAUUCCGCGUGUAGCAGUGAAAUGCGUAGAUAUGCGGAGGAACACCGAUGGCGAAGGCAAUCCCCUGGGCCUGCACUGACGCUGAGGCGCGAAAGCUAGGGGAGCAAACGGG